GGCGGACGGGUGAGUAACGCGUAAAGAACUUGCCCUUUAGACUGGGAUAACAGAGGGAAACUUCUGAUAAUACUGGAUAAGUUAGUAUAUCGCAUGAUAUACAAAUGAAAGCUACGGCACUAAAGGAGAGCUUUGCGUCCUAUUAGCUAGUUGGUAAGGUAAGAGCUUACCAAGGCGAUGAUAGGUAGCCGGCCUGAGAGGGUGGACGGCCACAAGGGGACUGAGAUACGGCCCUUACUCCUACGGGAGGCAGCAGUC
rnacentral:rRNA from 1 species